rnacentral:lncRNA from 1 species
AGACUCCACAACCCAGCAAUCCUACAUACACUCCACUGAUUGAUUUUCUGAGGAGCAAGAACCGACAGGCAGUCGGUCUUAAAGCACUCAUAGAGUGUCAUUGUGAUGGGCUGCCGCUCUUCUACCUGUGCCAGGUGUGUAAGUGUAAAGUCCUGCAGAACUCGAUUAUCUCCCAUGUCACUGGAGACAAUCACCGACAAUUAUCCCUGGUAGGUAACCAGCAACCACCACAUACCAAAUGUUUUCAAGUACAGAUCCACAUGUGAAGUGACUGGUAACUUAAUGGGGGCUGUCAGGAAUCGUGUGUGUGUGUGUGUGUGUGUGUGUGUGUGUGUGUGUGUGUGUGUGUGUGUGUGUGUGUGUGUGUGUGUGUGUGUGUGUGUGUGUGUGUGUGUGGUGUGUGUGUGUGUGUGUGUGUGUGUGUGUGUGUGUGUGUGUGUGUGUGUGUGUGUGUGUGUGUGUGUGUGUGUGUGUGUGUGUGUGUGUGUGUGUGUGUGUGUGUGUGUGUGUGUGUGUGGUGUGUGUGUGUGUGUGUGUGGUGUGUGUGUGUGUGUGUGUGUGUGUGUGUGUGUGUGUGUGUGUGUGUGUGUGGUCUUACUGAACGAAUGGAGACCAAAUGUCCCAGUGAGUAUCGUACAACCAGAAAAUAUUUACCUCAUUGGGACCUUUUGUCAAUUUCCGGUUUAGGGUCAAACUUUUUUUUUCUAAUUAUAAAAUCAACAAUUGAUUUUAUAAUUAGAAUUGGGGUUUCUUUAAGGUCCAGGCUUGUUGGUUAAGUUUAGGUUUAAGGUUAGGCAUUACAUCUAGGUAAAGUUUAGGCAUAAAUGUUACUUUAUUGAGGUUAAGGUUAGGUUAGGGUUAGGUUUAGGGUUAAGUUUGGGGCAAGGGAGCAUGCAAUUUCUAUUUUCUGGUCCCCAUGAGGUUAGCUGUACAAACUUGUGUGCGUGUGUGUCUAAGUAACGUGUGUGUCUAUCCAACAGUGGCCUAUGAAUACUAUUCCCAAACGCCACAGGAGGUUGAGGGCAGCUGCCUUAAAGCUGGAGAAGACCUUGGGAUAUGGAGAAUUUAAGGUAAAGAUGGUCUUGUGUGAUCACUAUUCAAGUGACCCCCGAUAUUUCGUCAUGCCUCUAGCUAAGAAGCCUAAGCCCAAGCUGAAGAAAAACAGUAAUGUCAAAACUCUGGCCCUAGCCUGCAAUGACGUGUGUUCUCCCGCAGCACCCGCUGGGAGAUUCCCUGCUCUGUGGCGCUACCUGCAGCAGUCCAACAGACAGCCUGUCAUUGGUGUUGGUAUGUUGACAGAGUUGACAGAACGAGAUGGUGACUACGUCCUGUGUGGAUGCUGUUCUCACAAGAUGUUUCCAUCCUCUGUCACCUCACACGUCAUCUCUUCCAGACACCGCUACUACUACAUAAGAAUGGCACAUCCUGAGCUGGCUGUUAAUUGGCCAGAAAGUCCAGCGCUGAUUGUGUAUAAUGGGCCUCUUCAAAGAGAGCUGAGAGUGCAAGCUAAAGAACUGGAGGGUCAGGAAGGACCUGAACAUCCCCAGGUGGUGAAAGAAACAUCUGCUACAUCGGGAGGUGGACCCACAACCUGCCCAGAAGAGGUUGUCGAACAGAUCCAGAUUCACUCCGCUCCUGUCUCUGUGGAAGAGGAACCGGUUAACUCAGAGCCAUCACAGCCCCUCGGAGAAAAGAAAAAGACGAGGAAUAGGGGCAAUCCUGUGGUUGGAGUGAACUUCCUGGUCCGGGUGUCUCACAGAAAUAGGAAACAAUACUACUGUCAGCUGUGCUCCGUUAGGGUGAAGCAUCCCGUUAUUGAUCACAUGACCAGCCUCCGCCAUCGACACAGCUAUGUGAAAUUGAAGUACCCCAGUUGGACCUCCGACUCGGAGGCAAAGCUGUUCAAGAUGGCUUUUCACCUGGAGAAGGUGGAUCGAAGCGCUGGACUGGGCAUGCAGAAAGUAGAAGUGGAUGCUGUUGAAUUCAAGGAUCUAAGGUCUUGCCCUGUGGAGGAAGCUCUCAGUAAACUGCAGGCCAUUAUCAUACAGCAACAAGAGCCAGGUGAUCUGAAGAUGCAUCCCUCAACCAAUCAGAACCCAGAAGAUCUGAGACAGACUGCUCCCUCAUUGAGACCUGUCAGUGCCCAAGGGCCAUCUAACGGUAACUUCAGCUCGCUAUAUGAGCGCACAAUAUCGGACUUUCCUGAAGCCCGAAGUUAGUCAUCUGUUGUUAUUUAUUGUUCUUUUAACACUGUUCUUAGUGGGAAAUGGUAAUACAAACAUUUACAACAAUUUUAUGUUGUAACUGUUCUUUAGCUGUAGCUGUUCUUUAGCUGAAACUGUUUUUGCAAAAACUGCAACCAUGUGCUGUCUCUUUACGCAAUGAUUCUCACUUAGGUGUGAAUGGGACGGGGUCAAUUGAGGAAGAGGGGCGGAGUCCUUUCAGGGAAUCAGAGCAGGCCUAUGGCCUGACAGCCCUCACUGCUCUUUCUCUCUCCACUCACUGCUGUCUCUUU